UGGGGAAUUUUGGACAAUGGGGGAAACCCUGAUCCAGCCAUCCCGCGUGUGCGAUGAAGGCCUUCGGGUUGUAAAGCACUUUUUGCAGGAAAGAAACGUCAUGGGUUAAUACCCCGUGAAACUGACGGUACCUGCAGAGUAAGCACCGGCUAACUACGUGCCAGCAGCCGCGGUAAUACGUAGGGUGCAAGCGUUAAUCGGAAUUACUGGGCGUAAAGCGUGCGCAGGCGGUUCGGAAAGAAAGAUGUGAAAUCCCAGAGCUCAACUUUGGAACUGCAUUUUUAACUACCGGGCUAGAGUGUGUCAGAGGGAGGUGGAAUUCCGCGUGUAGCAGUGAAAUGCGUAGAUAUGCGGAGGAACACCGAUGGCGAAGGCAGCCUCCUGGGAUAACACUGACGCUCAUGCACGAAAGCGUGGGGAGCAAACAGG
rnacentral:rRNA from 1 species